rnacentral:rRNA from 1 species
CAGUCGCCGCGGGAAUACAGAGGGUGCGAGCGUUAAUCGGAUUUACUGGGCGUAAAGGGCGCGUAGGCGGUUUAGUGAGUGUGAUGUGAAAGCCCCGGGCUUAACCUGGGAAGUGCAUCGCAAACGACUAAACUGGAGUAUAAGAGAGGGUGGCGGAAUUUCCGGUGUAGCGGUGAAAUGCGUAGAGAUCGGAAGGAACGUCAAUGGCGAAGGCAGCCACCUGGCUUAAUACUGACGCUGAGGCGCGAAAGCGUGGGGAUCAAACAGGAUUAGAUACCCCGGUAGUCCCUGUCUCUUAUAC